AUUGAAGCUUCGGCAGAUUUAGCUGGUUUCUAGUGGCGGACGGGUGAGUAACGCGUGGGUAACCUGCCUUAUACAGGGGGAUAACAACCAGAAAUGGUUGCUAAUACCGCAUAAGCGCACAGGACCGCAUGGUCCGGUGUGAAAAACUCCGGUGGUAUAAGAUGGACCCGCGUUGGAUUAGCUAGUUGGCAGGGUAACGGCCUACCAAGGCGACGAUCCAUAGCCGGCCUGAGAGGGUGAACGGCCACAUUGGGACUGAGACACGGCCCAGACUCCUACGGGAGGCAGCAGUGGGGAAUAUUGCACAAUGGGGGAAACCCUGAUGCAGCGACGCCGCGUGAAGGAAGAAGUAUCUCGGUAUGUAAACUUCUAUCAGCAGGGAAGAUAGUGACGGUACCUGACUAAGAAGCCCCGGCUAACUACGUGCCAGCAGCCGCGGUAAUACGUAGGGGGCAAGCGUUAUCCGGAUUUACUGGGUGUAAAGGGAGCGUAGACGGACUGGCAAGUCUGAUGUGAAAGGCGGGGGCUCAACCCUUGGACUGCAUUGGAAACUGUUAGUCUUGAGUGCCGGAGAGGUAAGCGGAAUUCCUAGUGUAGCGGUGAAAUGCGUAGAUAUUAGGAGGAACACCAGUGGCGA
rnacentral:rRNA from 1 species